rnacentral:misc_RNA from 1 species
GUGAAUCAUCGAAUUUUUGAACGCAAAUUGCACUCUCUGGUAUUCCGGAGAGUAUGCCUGUUUGAGGGUAAGUUUAAAUAAAAAUCGGUGAGGUUGCUGCCUUUCGUGGUGACGCACCGGCUUUGGGUUGUCUUGACUUCGGUUUAGUGACCUAAGAUUUUGCAUGAUUUUUUUCGAUAGUAUUUAAAUGAUUUUACGUACGUUUGAGAUGUCGAUUAAUUGGUGUGGCAUACCACAU